rnacentral:SRP_RNA from 1 species
GCCGGGCGCGGAGGGGCGUGCCUGUAGUCCCAGCUGCUCGGGAGGCUGAGGCUGGAGGAUCGCUUGAGCCCAGGAGUUCUGGGCUGUAGUGAGCUAUGCCGAUAGGGUGUCCGCACUGAGUUCAGAAUCAAUAUGGUGACCUCCCGGGAGCGAGGGACCACCAGGUUGCCUAAGGAGGGGCGAACUGGCCCAGGUCGGAAACGGAGCAGGUCAAAACUCCCGUGCUGAUCAGUAGUGGGAUCGCGCCUGUGAACAGCCACUGCACUCCAGCCUGGGCAACAUAGCGAGACCCCCUCUCUU